CCCCCCAAACCGAAGCCUCCAUUAAGCACAAUCCCGUCCGUUACCGGCAGCGGCAAGCCUCCACCGAGUCCAUCCUCGUCCAUCACCGGGAAGCCUCCACCGAGUCCAACCUCGACCAUCACCGACAGGAACAAGAAGAUUGGCAUGUCGACACCUCCAACAGAAAGUGGUGGCCAAGCUGUAGUUGCAUACUCGGGGACUGGAAGUGUACCGCAAAAUGAUCACAUGGAAGAGGAAGAGGAUGACUUCGACGAGUUGGUUGAUUAUCAUGAGUUUGCAAAUCCUAUUUUUGUUUCUGAUGAGGAGGAAGAUGGGGCUGGAGGGGAUGAAGCGGGAAAAGAUGGGGAUGAAGAAGAGGAGGAGAAUGUGGAAGUUGCUUCCAAAAGAAAACUUACCUCGACUGUGUGGGCAGAGUUCAAGAGAGUGAAGGUUGCGGGAAAAUGGAAGGCAAAGUGUGUUUAUUGCAAUAAGGAGCUUCGAGGAGAACCAAAGAAUGGGACCAAGCAUCUUCAUUACCACUUAGGUAUUUGUGUUCUGAAAAAAGAUCAAGAUCAA
rnacentral:rRNA from 1 species